UUAAGAAUGUUUACACACCCAAAGCUUUAAAUUCAUCCCUUCAGAAACCUAGGACAGAAGAGUUAGAAGAACUGUAUUUACACAGUUAAAAACUUUGAAAUGUGAAAUCAAAAAAGAUGAUUUGUUGCGGUUACAGAAAAUAUUUUUUAAAGUGAAAUCAAAACAAGAGGCAUUAAGGAGCUUAACAAACGCAUCAAAGUAAAUCAGAGUCAGAAUUACCUACUUAGGACAAGAUUUGUCUAAACUA
rnacentral:lncRNA from 1 species